rnacentral:rRNA from 1 species
ACUCCUACGGGAGGCAGCAGUGGGGAAUAUUGCACAAUGGGGGAAACCCUGAUGCAGCCAUGCCGCGUGUGUGAAGAAGGCCUCGGUUGUAAAGCACUUUCAGUAGGGAGGAAGGUAGUGUAGUUAACACCUGCAUUAUUUGUACGUUACCUACAGAAGAAGCACCGGCUAACUCCGUGCCAGCAGCCGCGGUAAGUACGGAGGGUGCGAGCGUUAAUCGGAAUUACUGGGCGUAAAGCGCAUGCAGGCGGCCUGUUAAGUCAGAUGUGAAAGCCCGGGGUCUUAACCUCGGAAUUGCAUUUGAAACUGGCAGGCUAGAGUCUUGUAGAGGGGGUUAGAAGUUUCAGGUGUAGCGGUGAAAUGCGUAGAGAUCUGAAGG